rnacentral:rRNA from 1 species
GUCCACGCCGUAAACGAUGAAUACUAGGUGUGGGGACUGACCCCUCCGUGCCGCAGUUAACACAAUAAGUAUUCCACCUGGGGAGUACGGCCGCAAGGUUGAAACUCAAAGGAAUUGACGGGGCCCGCACAAGCAGUGGAUUAUGUGGUUUAAUUCGAAGCAACGCGAAGAACCUUACCAGGGCUUGACAUCCCACUAACGAAGUAGAGAUACAUUAGGUGCCCUUCGGGGAAAGUGGAGACAGGUGGUGCAUGGUUGUCGU